UCAACCGUGUUUUUUGCCCUGCGGCAAGC
rnacentral:sRNA from 1 species